UACGUAGGUGGCAAGCGUUAUCCGGAAUUAUUGGGCGUAAAGAGCGCGCAGGUGGUUGAUUAAGUCUGAUGUGAAAGCCCACGGCUUAACCGUGGAGGGUCAUUGGAAACUGGUCGACUUGAGUGCAGAAGAGAGAAGUGGAAUUCCAUGUGUAGCGGUGAAAUGCGUAGAGAUAUGGAGGAACACCAGUGGCGAAGGCGGCUUCCUGGACUGUAACUGACACUGAGGCACGAAAGCGUGGGGAGCAAACAGGAUUAGA
rnacentral:rRNA from 1 species